CCAGUUCCGUCUUUAAGAUUCUAAAACUAAUUCCCUUAGCUGUAGGGUGUGCUGCCAGUUUUCUGGAAAUUGCUCUGUGGUUGAAAGAGCUGCUUCACUCAACAUCAUACUACCUUCCUAGAGGCAACUGGUACUCCAUGCCAUGCUCCGCUGCUUCAUCACAAUAAGGGACAACUAUGAAGAACUAUCUCAGUUUUUAGCUCUGCAUGGGGUCACUGAGGCACUGAAGCCCAAGUUAUCCCUUGACCCUACCUUACUUCCUUUCUUCUUUCCAUACCAGUUAAUCUGAAAAGCCUCUCGAUGAAUUUGCUGCACUUUAGUGUCAGUAUCAAAGUUGGCUUCCUGGGGAACAGGAUUUACAAAACCCAGGAAGACAUAAUUCUCCUGAUCCUGAAGAGCCUCAUAAUUGUUUUGGGACAACUCCUUCUGGCCUCCUAUCCUUGUUUCCCUGAUUUGCUACUUCCCAAAGUAUGAAAAAGAAAACAAUACAAAGAUAUGUAUAAUGCAAGAUCAGGUUGAUUUGAAAUAGAACUUCAGAUAUGGCAUG
rnacentral:lncRNA from 1 species